rnacentral:lncRNA from 1 species
CUGAAGCUGACGAGCCUCUCAUUCCCGAAGAAACCCUCAGACCUCGCCGAAGGAAGAAAGCUGCUAAAAAAGCCAGAACUAUCCAUCGCGAUAUAGAUCCUGAAAGCGACGAGGAGAUCCUUCCCGAAGCAAUCCCACAAUCAACCCCUCCAACUGACCCCGUUACUGCACCUUCUGAAUCAACUCCAACUAAAAGGAGCUUGCUUGACAUACCUCUAUGCGAUAGGGCGAAAGUUCUUCGUGUUAAGAAGCUAAGGUCAAAGAUAACUCCACUCACUGCCGAAGAACUCCGAAUUCCAACGUCUUCGACGGCCACUCCCCCGACAAUCCCAACCGAAAACCAAACACCUGAUGCUGGGCUGGUUGAAUCUGUCCCCCUCUUAUCCCGAAAAAGAAAACAACCUUCAGACAGCCAGCCGGGUGCAACCUCUGCUCCUUCUUCGACCCCCGAGCCUACUCCUGCCCGAUCUCCUUCUCCAGAAACGGUACAUGCGGAUCCCUCGCCGGUUCGCAAUCAAUCUAUGCCCUCUCCUCCAAGACAAACGACCACCGAAUUUCAGCAUGAUGCUAUGGCCUCUCCAACCAUGUGGCCCCGAUUUAAUGCCAACUUCCCUUUUCAACUGUUCGAGGCCUUCGUUCGUGAGACCGAUGACCAUCGAUUUGGGAACAGUUCGAAUGGGGAUUUGCUUAGCGAAGGCAUGAGCUACUUGGCGAAGGUAAA